GCGGAGGAAAAGAAACCAACAGGGAUUGCCUCAGUAACGGCGAGUGAAGCGGCAACAGCUCAAAUUUGAAAUCUGGCCCUAGGCCCGAGUUGUAAUUUGCAGAGGAUGUUUCUGGCGAGGUGCCUUCCGAGUGCCCUGGAACGGGACGCCAUAGAGGGUGAGAGCCCCGUACGGUUGGUCGCUAAGCCUCUGUGAAACUCCUUCGACGAGUCGAGUAGUUUGGGAAUGCUGCUCUAAAUGGGAGGUAUACGUCUUCUAAAGCUAAAUACCGGCCAGAGACCGAUAGCGCACAAGUAGAGUGAUCGAAAGAUGAAAAGCACUUUGAAAAGAGGGUUAAAUAGUACGUGAAAUUGUUGAAAGGGAAGCGCUCAUGACCAGACUUGGGCCGGUUGAUCAUCCGCCGUUCUCGGCGGUGCACUCUGCCGGCCCAGGCCAGCAUCAGUUUGGCCCGGGGGAUAAAGGCGUAGGGAAUGUGGSUCCCCCCGGGGAGUGUUAUAGCCCUGCGCGUAAUACCCUGGACUGGACUGAGGUUCGCGCAUCUGCAAGGAUGCUGGCGUAAUGGUCAUCAGUGACCCGUCUUGAAACACGGACCAAGGAGUCGUCUUCGUAU
rnacentral:sRNA from 1 species